rnacentral:rRNA from 1 species
GACGAACGCUGGCGGCGUGCUUAACACAUGCAAGUCGAACGGAAAGGCCCUGCUUUUGUGGGGUGCUCGAGUGGCGAACGGGUGAGUAACACGUGAGUAACCUGCCCUUGACUUUGGGAUAACUUCAGGAAACUGGGGCUAAUACCGGAUAGGAGCUCCUGCUGCAUGGUGGGGGUUGGAAAGUUUCGGCGGUUGGGGAUGGACUCGCGGCUUAUCAGCUUGUUGGUGGGGUAGUGGCUUACCAAGGCUUUGACGGGUAGCCGGCCUGAGAGGGUGACCGGCCACAUUGGGACUGAGAUACGGCCCAGACUCCUACGGGCGGCCACAGUGGGGAAUCUUGCCCCAUGGGCGGAAGCCUGAUGCAGCAACGCCGCGUGCGGGAUGACGGCCUUCGGGUUGUAAACCGCUUUCGCCUGUGACGAAGCGUGAGUGACGGUAAUGGGUAAAGAAGCACCGGCUAACUACGUG